rnacentral:rRNA from 1 species
AGAGUUUGAUCCUGGCUCAGGACGAACGCUGGCGGCGUGCUUAACACAUGCAAGUCGAACGGAAAGGCCCUUCGGGGUGCUCGAGUGGCGAACGGGUGAGUAACACGUGGGUGAUCUGCCCUGCACUUUGGGAUAAGCCUGGGAAACUGGGUCUAAUACCGGAUAGGACUCCGAGAUGCAUGUCUUGGGGUGGAAAGCUUUUGCGGUGUGGGAUGGGCCCGCGGCCUAUCAGCUUGUUGGUGGGGUGAUGGCCUACCAAGGCGACGACGGGUAGCCGGCCUGAGAGGGUGUCCGGCCACACUGGGACUGAGAUACGGCCCAGACUCCUACGGGAGGCAGCAGUGGGGAAUAUUGCACAAUGGGCGCAAGCCUGAUGCAGCGACGCCGCGUGAGGGAUGACGGCCUUCGGGUUGUAAACCUCUUUCAGUACCGACGAAGCGUAAGUGACGGUAGGUACAGAAGAAGCACCGGCCAACUACGUGCCAGCAGCCGCGGUAAUACGUAGGGUGCGAGCGUUGUCCGGAAUUACUGGGCGUAAAGAGCUCGUAGGUGGUUUGUCGCGUUGUUCGUGAAAACUCACAGCUUAACUGUGGGCGUGCGGGCGAUACGGGCAGACUGGAGUACUGCAGGGGAGACUGGAAUUCCUGGUGUAGCGGUGGAAUGCGCAGAUAUCAGGAGGAACACCGGUGGCGAAGGCGGGUCUCUGGGCAGUAACUGACGCUGAGGAGCGAAAGCGUGGGGAGCGAACAGGAUUAGAUACCCUAGUAGUCC